UACGGAGGGAGCUAGCGUUAUUCGGAAUUACUGGGCGUAAAGCGCACGUAGGCGGCUUGUAAGUAAGAGGUGAAAGCCCAGAGCUCAACUCUGGAAUUGCCUUUUAGACUGCAUCGCUUGAAUCAUGGAGAGGUCAGUGGAAUUCCGAGUGUAGAGGUGAAAUUCGUAGAUAUUCGGAAGAACACCAGUGGCGAAGGCGGCUGACUGGACAUGUAUUG
rnacentral:rRNA from 1 species